UCCCCGUUACCGGGGCAGUCUAGCUAGAAAAAUUCAACUAACUAUAAGGGUUGCGCUCGUUGAUGGACUUAACCAAACAUCUCACGACACGAGCUGACGACGGCCAUGCAACAGCUGUCACCAAGUUCAAUAAAGCACUCACUGCUUUCGCAGUAAUUCUUGGGAUGUCAAACCCUGGUAAGGUUCUUCGUUUAUCAUCGAAUUAAAGAACACGCUCCACCUCUUGUGCGGAGCCCCGUCAAUUCCUUUAUGUUUUAGUCUUGCGACCGUACUCCACAGGCGGGAUGCUUAACGCGUUAGCUUCGCUACGGAAGGGGUCGAUAUCCCCCCACACCUAGCACCCAUCGUUUACGGCUGGGACUAC
rnacentral:misc_RNA from 1 species